rnacentral:rRNA from 1 species
UUAAGCGACUAAGCGUACACGGUGGAUGCCCUGGCAGUCAGAGGCGAUGAAGGACGUGCUAAUCUGCGAUAAGCGUCGGUAAGGUGAUAUGAACCGUUAUAACCGGCGAUUUCCGAAUGGGGAAACCCAGUGUGAUUCGUCACACUAUCAUUAACUGAAUCCAUAGGUUAAUGAGGCGAACCGGGGGAACUGAAACAUCUAAGUACCCCGAGGAAAAGAAAUCAACCGAGAUUCCCCCAGUAGCGGCGAGCGAACGGGGAGCAGCCCAGAGCCUGAAUCAGUGUGUGUGUUAGUGGAAGCGUCUGGAAAGGCGUGCGAUACAGGGUGACAGCCCCGUACACAAAAAUACACAUACUGUGAGCUCGAUGAGUAGGGCGGGACACGUGGUAUCCUGUCUGAAUAUGGGGGGACCAUCCUCCAAGGCUAAAUACUCCUGACUGACCGAUAGUGAACCAGUACCGUGAGGGAAAGGCGAAAAGAACCCCGGCGAGGGGAGUGAAAAAGAACCUGAAACCGUGUACGUACAAGCAGUGGGAGCACGCUUAGGCGUGUGACUGCGUACCUUUUGUAUAAUGGGUCAGCGACUUAUAUUCUGUAGCAAGGUUAACCGAAUAGGGGAGCCGAAGGGAAACCGAGUCUUAACUGGGCGUUAAGUUGCAGGGUAUAGACCCGAAACCCGGUGAUCUAGCCAUGGGCAGGUUGAAGGUUGGGUAACACUAACUGGAGGACCGAACCGACUAAUGUUGAAAAAUUAGCGGAUGACUUGUGGCUGGGGGUGAAAGGCCAAUCAAACCGGGAGAUAGCUGGUUCUCCCCGAAAGCUAUUUAGGUAGCGCCUCGUGAAUUCAUCUCCGGGGGUAGAGCACUGUUUCGGCAAGGGGGUCAUCCCGACUUACCAACCCGAUGCAAACUGCGAAUACCGGAGAAUGUUAUUACGGGAGACACACGGCGGGUGCUAACGUCCGUCGUGAAGAGGGAAACAACCCAGACCGCCAGCUAAGGUCCCAAAGUCAUGGUUAAGUGGGAAACGAUGUGGGAAGGCCCAGACAGCCAGGAUGUUGGCUUAGAAGCAGCCAUCAUUUAAAGAAAGCGUAAUAGCUCACUGGUCGAGUCGGCCUGCGCGGAAGAUGUAACGGGGCUAAACCAUGCACCGAAGCUGCGGCAGCGACGCUUAUGCGUUGUUGGGUAGGGGAGCGUUCUGUAAGCCUGUGAAGGUGUGCUGUGAGGUAUGCUGGAGGUAUCAGAAGUGCGAAUGCUGACAUAAGUAACGAUAAAGCGGGUGAAAAGCCCGCUCGCCGGAAGACCAAGGGUUCCUGUCCAACGUUAAUCGGGGCAGGGUGAGUCGACCCCUAAGGCGAGGCCGAAAGGCGUAGUCGAUGGGAAACAGGUUAAUAUUCCUGUACUUGGUGUUACUGCGAAGGGGGGACGGAGAAGGCUAUGUUGGCCGGGCGACGGUUGUCCCGGUUUAAGCGUGUAGGCUGGUUUUCCAGGCAAAUCCGGAAAAUCAAGGCCGAGGCGUGAUGACGAGGCACUACGGUGCUGAAGCAACAAAUGCCCUGCUUCCAGGAAAAGCCUCUAAGCAUCAGGUAACAUCAAAUCGUACCCCAAACCGACACAGGUGGUCAGGUAGAGAAUACCAAGGCGCUUGAGAGAACUCGGGUGAAGGAACUAGGCAAAAUGGUGCCGUAACUUCGGGAGAAGGCACGCUGAUACGUAGGUGAAGCGACUUGCUCGUGGAGCUGAAAUCAGUCGAAGAUACCAGCUGGCUGCAACUGUUUAUUAAAAACACAGCACUGUGCAAACACGAAAGUGGACGUAUACGGUGUGACGCCUGCCCGGUGCCGGAAGGUUAAUUGAUGGGGUUAGCGCAAGCGAAGCUCUUGAUCGAAGCCCCGGUAAACGGCGGCCGUAACUAUAACGGUCCUAAGGUAGCGAAAUUCCUUGUCGGGUAAGUUCCGACCUGCACGAAUGGCGUAAUGAUGGCCAGGCUGUCUCCACCCGAGACUCAGUGAAAUUGAACUCGCUGUGAAGAUGCAGUGUACCCGCGGCAAGACGGAAAGACCCCGUGAACCUUUACUAUAGCUUGACACUGAACAUUGAGCCUUGAUGUGUAGGAUAGGUGGGAGGCUUUGAAGUGUGGACGCCAGUCUGCAUGGAGCCGACCUUGAAAUACCACCCUUUAAUGUUUGAUGUUCUAACGUGGACCCGUGAUCCGGGUUGCGGACAGUGUCUGGUGGGUAGUUUGACUGGGGCGGUCUCCUCCUAAAGAGUAACGGAGGAGCACGAAGGUUGGCUAAUCCUGGUCGGACAUCAGGAGGUUAGUGCAAUGGCAUAAGCCAGCUUGACUGCGAGCGUGACGGCGCGAGCAGGUGCGAAAGCAGGUCAUAGUGAUCCGGUGGUUCUGAAUGGAAGGGCCAUCGCUCAACGGAUAAAAGGUACUCCGGGGAUAACAGGCUGAUACCGCCCAAGAGUUCAUAUCGACGGCGGUGUUUGGCACCUCGAUGUCGGCUCAUCACAUCCUGGGGCUGAAGUAGGUCCCAAGGGUAUGGCUGUUCGCCAUUUAAAGUGGUACGCGAGCUGGGUUUAGAACGUCGUGAGACAGUUCGGUCCCUAUCUGCCGUGGGCGCUGGAGAACUGAGGGGGGCUGCUCCUAGUACGAGAGGACCGGAGUGGACGCAUCACUGGUGUUCGGGUUGUCAUGCCAAUGGCACUGCCCGGUAGCUAAAUGCGGAAGAGAUAAGUGCUGAAAGCAUCUAAGCACGAAACUUGCCCCGAGAUGAGUUCUCCCUGACCCUUUAAGGGUCCUGAAGGAACGUUGAAGACGACGACGUUGAUAGGCCGGGUGUGUAAGCGCAGCGAUGCGUUGAGCUAACCGGUACUAAUGAACCGUGAGGCUUAACCUU